UCCUCAUCCAUCACAGCCCGGGCGGAUGGCAGAAGAUGAGAUCAUGUUGACUGGAUUGAGACGAGCGUCCUGGAAAACAGGAACACCCACCUCUGGAUGUGUCUCUGAAGGCGAUGAAACCGCACACCGUGUGCCAAGCGAUGCUCUGGAUGCUAGAGGGGAGACAUCAGGCAGAACUCUGAGGUGCUAGCAUGGAGCUGCCAGCAUCCUAACCGGAAGAGGGAUAGAGAGUGAUGGAGAAUUGCUCACAUAUCUGGUUCUUCUUCCUGAGUAUUACUCACUAACCCUAGAAGGAGAAAAACGUGAGUUCCCCAGUCAAGAUCAGAGCUGCUCUAUCAAAAGUGGGUGCAUGAACUCAAAAUAGCAUAAGAUACGAAGACAGGGCAUCUGAACUGCAAGUACUGGGUGGGGUGGACAAGAGUGUGACACCAGGGUGACACUGGGGAACCAUCGCUAUCAGCAAGUUGGCUCUGAACUCUGUCCUACCCAACGGCUCUUCUCUCUGCGCGGGAUCCACUGCGCAACUGCCAGUCCGUGAGUCAGAAAAGUUUACAACUUCCUUCCUCAAAAGGCUCCAAAAUAAACAGAGUAAACACCAGUCGGUCUCAGCUGGGUGCACGUUGGCCUGCCUGGAGGAGGGGAAUGCCAGAGACAGCUUCUGGAGGCCGCUCGCUCACAGCCCUGCACUUCUAGGAAAUAGACAAUUACCAACAACAUGGAUUUUAUUAUCGUGACAUCGCUAAGGUCUUUGCAUAAAGCCUAUAUUUAAAAAUAUAAACAUGUAAGUGAAAAAAAAUGUCAGGGGAAUAAAUAUUUGUCUUAAAAGAGA